rnacentral:tRNA from 1 species
GCCUUCGUGGCUCAGUGGUAGAGCGCGCGCUUGGUAAGCGCGAGGUCGCGAGUUCAAUUCUCGCCGAGGGC